ensembl:lncRNA
UAAUAAUAAGCAUGCAUAAUAAUAAUAAUUUACAUAAUAUAUAAAAACAUUUUAAGUAUACAUAAACAUAAAUAUAACAACAAUAAUUAAUUUAUGUGUAUGUUCAUUACAGAAAAAAAUUAUUUAAUUAUGUAUGAGAUGAAUAGUGUAUUAAAUCACGCUGUUAGAAUAGCAUGCUAUCUUUCAGUUGCUGCCUGUGUAGCACCUCAAACCAGUCACUUUUGAGUUUCCGUCUCACUUAAUAUGCCGCCUUAAAAGGCAACUCACUAGGUUAUGGAACAGAGCUUUAGCAUUGACCAUAUUGAUUUUGCUUGGUUUCAGCUGUGUUGUAGUUGUCCCUCUUAUCUUCUGUCUGUCUGCUGUCUUUAUAUGUUUGUUUGGCAUCAUCAUUUGCUUGGCUCCCACCCUCCCCUGCUUCCUCUCACAUUGGACUGCAUGGAAUCAUGGGAUUCCACAGCCCCUCCCAUCACCUUCUCUGAGAAGGUGCAUCGACCUGCUGGAACCACCAAGUCUCUGAGCAAAAAGGAUCACAAGCUGUGGACUUUCAGUCUUUAAUGUUAAUUUUCUGCUUUAUUGUUAAAUAAAUAAAGUUACUUUUUUUGGCUUUGCAGGAUUUAAGGAAAGUACAAAAUAAAUUGCACUGCCAUAUACUACUGUAAAGUCUGUUCAGCCAUGGCAUUAGUUUGUAGGCUAAUGUGCCAUGAGUUCCCAUGGGAAUUUUUAAUGGGUUUUUAGAAAGCAUUUUUUAAUUUUUGAGUAAAGUAAGGUGUUUGGUCAACAUGACUUUAAAAUAAUUAUUUUUAUUUUAUUUUAUUUUAUUUGACAAAAUUUAUACACAAUCAUGCCUCAAAUGGAGACACACCAUCUCGGGGGGAAAAAAGUAAAAAUUGACCUUUUGUUCCUUUAGGGGUGCUAGAGCUCAUCACUAGGGCAGUUAUUUACUAAUUUACCCCUAAAUGGUUAAUAUAUAUUUUAUGAUGAUUAUUCUUUUUCAAAGGUACAAUUAAUUUCCUUAAGGAUAGUUUAAUUGAUGAUAAAACAUACUGAAAUGAAAUACUUAAAAAUAUUACUUUGUAUGUAACUAGUGUUAUACAUUAAUAAACUACUUUCAAAACACAAAUUUCAAUUUCAGCAAAUUGAAAAAAAAAAAAAAAAUGUUGUACCCAUAAAGGUACAAUUAUUGCACAUUUUUCUGUGUACACAGGAUUGUAACUGCAAUAGAAAUAUGAGUUUACGUGCUUGGCACAUCCUUGUAGUGCUUAUGUCAAAACUUAAAAUUAUAAAGCAAACAAAGGUUUCAACAUUUAUUUUUGAGAUCUCACUGCGGACAUUUUGAUAGUAAAAUGGCUGUAAGUAAUGUGAACCACGGAUCUUAGUUUGCUCAGAAAUAAAAAAAACACCAUUAAAAACCCUUAAAUGUUCCUGAGGGAGUCAUCAGUCAUUCUCUUCCAGGUUUUAUGAAUACAAACUGAACAGCUUGAUUCAAACAUACAAACAAAUAUUGACCAUUGCUUCGUAUUUUGUAUUGUAUUCAAAACCACAUUAUGAAACACAUUUGGCCUCAGAAACAAAAGCCUUUGCUUCUAAUUGAGCCUUUUCUUUCUUUCUAAACCACCAGCUGCUCUGUUUUGCUCUUGAAGUGCUUGGUCGUCACCAGUGGAAAAGGUUUUUUUUGGUUCACAAGUCAAUGUGUUUGUGUCUUUCUCCCUCCGGCCCAAACUCAUUCCAUUAUCAGUCAAUCAAUGAAACUGUCCACAUGCAUUUGGAUUGCGGCGGUGCUCUUGCACCCCAUUGGUUAGAAUCAAACUGCCGUUCCCUGGUUCAGUGCGGACUGCCCCUAUGCCCUGACAGACACAAGGACACGUGAGCCUCGCAGACGAUGCCUACGGUAGGUCAGCGGUGGGGGUCGUUGUACAGGUCAGCUGUGCAGAGUUGGGGAGCGUCUCGCUUCCAGACGUUCCUCAACAUGAGACAAGUUUAGAAACGGCUGGUGCUUGACCUCCACCUCUGACCUGUGAUCCACAGACCUCGUGUCAAGUGUGCUUUGGAAUGCUUUAACACUAACUAAACCAGCUUUCUUCUCGCUGUUCAGCUUCUGGUCUGUGGAGUGAUGUUGAAAACAGAAGUUGCUGGGCCAAUGGUGUGGUUGAACGGCACGGUUGAACAGAUUAUGUCUAGGCCAGGGUUCCUCAAAUCUUUCCCUGGAGGUCCAAUGCGCUGCAGAGUUUAGCUCCAACCCUGAUCAAACUCACCUACCUGUGAUUUUCUAAUGAUCCUGAAGACACUGAUUAGCAUGCUCAGGUGUGUUUGAUUAGGGUUAGAGCUAAACUCUGCAGGAAAGUGGAUCUCGUGGGCCAGAUUUGAGGAUUCCUGGUCUAUGCUAUGGGGAUAAGUCAACAAAAAUUAUGUACUGUAUACUUAUAUCGAAAUUUAAAGUAUGUUAUUAAAUUAUUAACACAUAUGUGGUAUUAACAUAUUAGUAACUAAAACUAUUGAUAAUCAAAUUGAAAUUAAAUUGUAAUUGAAAUAAAGCUGAAAUGAAAAAUUUUACUUGAAAAACUUUAUAUAUAUAUAUAUAUAGUAAUGUGGGAUAUUUUAAUGGCGUUAUUUUAUUCUCUUUCUACAUCUUUCCACUAUUUUUUUUUCUUUUGAAAGUAAGUGCCGAUAUAAUAGACCAAUGUAAACUGCUCUCAGUACAGAAUAGGGGUCCGCUUUGGUCCCCGAAUAUUAUCGAACAGCUCAACAGUAGCGCGUGAACGAAAUGUGUAUAUAGGAGGCUCGCGUUUUUUGUUUAUUAUUUUAUUUUUCCAGCUGGUUCUUCCGCGUUCGUGGAUACACAGGCACCUUUCCGCCAAUCUCGUGUCUGCGUUAAAAUGAUUUUGCUCGGAAAACGAGCAACCUUGUUAGCACCAUUUGUGAAUUUCCUUUGAGAGUGUAGUCAUUUUUCUUGAUUAUUUUAAUGCACCAUCUGCAAGUCUGUCAUUCCGUAAGAGCGCUGAGGUUUACCACUUUUAUAAAAUGUUUAGGAGUUUUUGUGUUUAAAUGCACCGGCCGAUGUGACGCAGUAGCCAGCUGAUGUUGGAGAAGCAAAGUUUGAUGGUAGUAUAAUGUUAAUAAAAAGAGACGAUUUGAAUAAAGAGGUUUUGUGCAAAUGAGAUGCAGGAGACUUUUGAUUAACAGGUAUUUAUUUGAACCUUAUUGACAGAUUUUUUUUAUAAGUCCGGAUAGAAUCUGCAGGUUCAUUUUGAUGGAUGAGCGACAAACGUGAGAUUUAAACACAGUAGGCCACUAUCCGCUGUCUGGUUGUGCAUUAAACAGCUUCCCUCAGCCCACAGUAUUGCAGAUGUUUAUAUAAAUGGAGGAUCCGGUCGUGUCUCUUCAGUUUGAAGCACCUGCGUCUUUUCAUUUAUAGUCUAGACCUGUUGGCGCCUGUGUAAAUAAUUUCCCAGAGAACACAGACUUUGUAAAUCAAAUGAUGCAUAAGGGUAAUGUCAAUAUCCUACAUGUUUUGCCACUUUGAGAAACAUAAACUGACAUAUACACACACAGUCGUGUUUUCAUUUUAGGUUAAAGAUGAAUUCAUUUGAUUCAUUUUAAUGGUUGUUACAUAGGCUUUUGUAAAUCAUAAAUAAAUAUGGAUUUUACAAAUAAGCAGAAAAAUUGUCUGUUUUGUGAGAAUAAAUGUAUGUUUGUGAGCGUAACAGCCCAC